AAAGAAGAAGAAAAAAAC
rnacentral:sRNA from 1 species